rnacentral:rRNA from 1 species
UACGGAGGAUGCGAGCGUUAUCCGGAUUUAUUGGGUUUAAAGGGUGCGUAGGCGGUCCGUUAAGUCAGCGGUCAAAUGUCGGGGCUCAACCCCGGCCUGCCGUUGAAACUGGCGGCCUCGAGUGGGCGAGAAGUAUGCGGAAUGCGUGGUGUAGCGGUGAAAUGCUUAGAUAUCACACAGAACACCGAUUGCGAAGGCAGCUUUCCAAGCUAUUACUGACGCUGAGGCACGAAAGCGUGGGGAGCGAACAGG